GAUGAACGCUGGCGGCGUGCCUAACACAUGCAAGUCGAACGAAGCGCCUGGCCCCGACUUCUUCGGAACGAGGAGCCUUGAGACUUAGUGGCGAACGGGUGAGUAACACGUAGGUAACCUGCCCAUGUGCCCGGGAUAACUGCUGGAAACGGUAGCUAAAAACCGGAUAGGUAUGAGGGAGGCAUCUUCCUCAUAUUAAAGCACCUUCGGGUGUGAACAUGGAUGGACCUGCGGCGCAUUAGCUGGUUGGUGAGGUAACGGCCCACCAAGGCGAUGAUGCGUAGCCGACCUGAGAGGGUGAACGGCCACAUUGGGACUGAGACACGGCCCAAACUCCUACGGGAGGCAGCAGUAGGGAAUUUUCGUCAAUGGGGGGAAACCCGUGAACGAAGCAAUGCCGCGUGUGUGAAGAAGGUCUUCGGAUCGUAAAGCACUGUUGUAAGUGAAGAAUGCCAUAUAGAGGAAAUGCUAUGUGGGUGACGGUAGCUUACCAGAAAGCCACGGCUAACU
rnacentral:rRNA from 1 species